GGGCGGUUAGCUCAGCGGUAGAGCACUACCUUGACAUGGUAGGGGUCGGGGGUUCGAACCCCUCACCGCCCACCA
rnacentral:tRNA from 1 species